rnacentral:tRNA from 1 species
GGGCCCGUAGCUCAGCCAGGAUAGAGCGCCGGCCUCCUACGCCGGAUGUCGGGGGUUCAAAUCCCCUCGGGCCCGCCA